UGUGUGUUCAUUUUUGGGAAUUGUGUUUAGAGUUUUGAGAAAAGGUGACAUAGUUUUGAAAACGUGUGUAAGCCAUAAGAAAAAACUGUAAGAGCAGAGCAUACAGAUGACUUUGCAGGAGCUCAGAGUCACAUGUAUGGCACCUCAACUGCAAAUCAACGUAUCGAGAGUUGGUGGUCCUUUUUCAGAAAGCAAAGGACUCAGUUUUGGAUUGAGCUCUUCAGCGACUUGAGAGAGAGACACCUUUUCAAUGGUAGCCAUGAACAUAAGUGCCUUCUGCGAUAAGUCUUCUUGGGCAUCUUGCAGAAAGACUUUGAUGACUACAGAAAACUUUGGAAUAACCACACCAUCCAAACAGUUCGGCAGUCGCUUUGUCCUUCUGGUAAACCAGAAGCUAUGUAUCACCUGCCUCACAGGUUUAAUGCAAGGGAGUGUGGAUUCCCGGUGUCCGAGGAAAUCCUAAGAGAGUUUGAGGACAUUUUGCCAGCCCGGCGCAGCCUGUGUGGUGAUGAUAAUCUCCAUCUUUAUUUUGAGAAUUCACAGAGACUGGGUGGGUUGAUUCCACCAGUAAACUGGACAGAUCCUGUUGAUAAUUAAAUAAUCUUAAAAAGUAUGUGUGGACUUAAAAAUAAUCAGUUUCUGAACUAGUAAUGGUUAUCAUGCAUGUGUUGCCCAUUCCUUUAAACAAGAAGUCAUUUUGUGAUCUACUGGGUAGGCAUGAUGUGGUUUUUAAAUGGAACAGUCAAUGCGGGAGUUCUGUGAAUGCCCAAUGGACUAAAAACCAAAUUCAUACAUUUCAAUGUAUUUAAUUAUUAUUUCUUUACAAACAGGUUAAUUAACAGCUGUGAUUUUGUAAACCGUU